rnacentral:rRNA from 1 species
GCCUACGGGGGGCAGCAGUGGGGAAUAUUGCACAAUGGGCGAAAGCCUGAUGCAGCGACGCCGCGUGAGUGAAGAAGUAUUUCGGUAUGUAAAGCUCUAUCAGCAGGGAAGAAAAUGACGGUACCUGACUAAGAAGCCACGGCUAACUACGUGCCAGCAGCCGCGGUAAUACGUAGGUGGCAAGCGUUGUCCGGAAUUACUGGGUGUAAAGGGAGCGCAGGCGGGAAGCCAAGUCAGCUGCGAAAACUACGGGCUUAACCUGUAGACUGCAGUUGAAACUGGUUUUCUUGAGUGAAGUAGAGGUU